AGACCUUAGAGUUUGAUCCUGGCUCAGGACGAACGCUGGCGGCGUGCUUAACACAUGCAAGUCGAGCGGUAAGGCCCUUUCGGGGGUACACGAGCGGCGAACGGGUGAGUAACACGUGGGUGACCUGCCUCUAGCUCUGGGAUAAGCCUGGGAAACUGGGUCUAAUACCGGAUAUGACCUCAUGACGCAUGUUGUGGGGUGGAAAGCCUUGUGCGGCUGGAGAUGGGCCCGCGGCCUAUCAGCUUGUUGGUGGGGUGAUGGCCUACCAAGGCCACGACGGGUAGCCGGGCUGAGAGGGCGACCGGCCACACUGGGACUGAUACACGGCCCAGACUCCUACGGGAGGCAGCAGUGGGGAAUCUUGCGCAAUGGGCGAAAGCCUGACGCACCGACGCCGCGUGAGGGAUGACGGCCUUCGGGUUGUAAACCUCUUUCAGCUCCGACGAAGCGGAAGUGACGGUAGGAGCACAAUAAGCACCGGCCAACUACGUGCCAGCAGCCGCGGUAAUACGUAGGGUGCAAGCGUUGUCCGGAAUUAUUGGGCGUAAAGAGCUCGUAGGCGGUCUGUCGCGUCGGCUGUGAAAACUUGGGGCUCAACUCCGAGCUUGCGGUCGAUACGGGCAGGCUAGAGUUCGGCAGGGGAGACUGGAAUUCCUGGUGUAGCGGUGAAAUGCGCAGAUAUCAUGAGGAACACCGGUGGUGAAGGCGGGUCUCUGGGCCGAUACUGACGCUGAGGAGCGAAAGCGUGGGGAGCGAACAGGAUUAGAUACCCUGGUAGUCCACGCCGUUCACGUUGGGCGCUAGGUGUGGGAAUCCCUUCCUCGGGUUCCGUGCCUCACCUAACGCAUUAAGCGCCCCGCCUGGGGAGUACGUCGCCAAGGCUAAACUUCAAAGGAUUUGACUGGGGCCCGCUCAAGCGGUGCAGCAUGUGGAUUAAUUCUAUGCACUCGAUCAACCUUACCUGGGUUUGACUUACUCCGUAAA
rnacentral:rRNA from 1 species